rnacentral:rRNA from 1 species
GACAGAGGGUGCAAACGUUGCUCGGAAUUACUGGGCGUAAAGCGCGUGUAGGCGGUUCCGCAAGUCAGGUGUGAAAGCCCAGGGCUCAACCCUGGAAGUGCACUUGAUACUACGGAGCUUGAGUACUGAAGAGGAGAGCGGAAUUCCCGGUGUAGAGGUGAAAUUCGUAGAUAUCGGGAGGAACACCAGUGGCGAAGGCGGCUCUCUGGGCAGAUACUGACACUGAGAAGCGAAAGCGUGGGGAGCGAACAGG